CCUACGGGGGGCAGCAGUGAGGAAUAUUGGUCAAUGGACGAGAGUCUGAACCAGCCAAGUAGCGUGAAGGAUGACUGCCCUAUGGGUUGUAAACUUCUUUUAUAUGGGAAUGAAAUGUUCCACGUGUGGGAUUUUGUAUGUACCAUAUGAAUAAGGAUCGGCUAACUCCGUGCCAGCAGCCGCGGUAAUACGGAGGAUCCGAGCGUUAUCCGGAUUUAUUGGGUUUAAAGGGAGCGUAGGUGGAUUGUUAAGUCAGUUGUGAAAGUUUGCGGCUCAACCGUAAAAUUGCAGUUGAAACUGGCAGUCUUGAGUACAGUAGAGGUGGGCGGAAUUCGUGGUGUAGCGGUGAAAUGCUUAGAUAUCACGAAGAACUCCGAUUGCGAAGGCAGUUCACUGGACUGCAACUGACACUGAGGCUCGAAAGUGUGGGUAUCAAACAGGAUUAGAUACCCCAGUAGUC
rnacentral:rRNA from 1 species